CUGCCCACAUCGGAUAUUGAAACCCGAUUUUUAGUGUUAUAAGCUCUUAGAUUUAUCCCUGAAGCAUCCGAGGGGAACAGAGAAGUUUGUAAGUUUCGAGCAAAACUACUUGUGCUUGCCGUCCCUAACUUUGAAGUGAUUGCCUAGAGAGAAGGCAGUUAGACAACACCACACACACCACCAACUCUUUAGUUACUUUACCAACAAAAGUGAAAUCAACAGUCACGUUAUAAAGUCCUCAAGGCUGAAGGGGCGAGCAUGUUCGACGAUAUGAGUCGGGGGUUCUAACUGGCCAGCCCAUGACAGGCCCGGAGGAAGAAGAAGUUUUAUGUCACAUAUCAUCCCUUGUAGGAUCUCAGAGUAGGGUGAACAUGACAGACACUGUUAGUACUGGAAGUGUAAGUGAUGAUAGAACUCAUGCUUCAUUCAGCCCCCAAAAUGCACUCCCUCAAAUACUUUUUAAAGAAAAUUACAUAACAUCAAAGCACUGGACAGUAGUUAUAGUUGGAGCUGGUGUUGCAGGAUUGGCAGCUGCUCAGAGACUGAUGGAAGGAGGUUGCAAUAGUGUCCUGGUUUUAGAGGCACAAGAUCAUCCUGGUGGUCGAAUCCAUACUAUGAAUUUUGGUGAUGGAGUGCUGGAGCUUGGAGCUCAAUGGGUGCAUGGAGAGAAAGGAAAUCCUCUUUUUGAAUAUGCCCAAAAUAUGGAUAUUUUGAGUGACCCAAGGACAGAAUAUUCUGUGGAAGCAAGAGGUUUGUUCUAUAGUGAGACAGCUGAGCAGGUUCCUGAGAUUGUUGUGGAUGAAACUUUAAUGGCUUUGGAGAAUAUUAAAGAAAAUAUUUAUAAAAUGUUCAGUCCUACUGAAAGUGAUAAUAUUUUGUCUAGUUCAGCCUCAGUUGGAGAUUUUUUUAAACAAAAAUUUGAAAUGUUUUUAGAAGAAUGUGGAGAUUUACCACAUGUCCAAGCAUGGAGAAGAGGGAUCUAUGAAUGGUUCCUAAAAUAUGAGUUGACAGAAAAUGCCUGUAAUAGUUUGAAUGAUGUAUCUUGUUGUGGAUUUGCCGAGUGGACAGAUUGUCCUGGAAAUUACCUUAUCAACUUUAAAAAUGGGUUUCAGUCAGUAGUUAAGUCCCUGAGUAAGGACAUUUCAUCUGAACAGCUAUGUCUGUCUAAACCGGUCAGUUGUAUUCAUUGGCAAGAAACAUAUGAAGGUAAAGAGUUGCCUACUGUGACAGUGGAAUGCUCAGAUGGAGAUAUGCUAUGUGCUGAUCACGUUAUACUUACAAUGUCAGUUGGCUAUUUGAAACAACACAAUCAGACGCUCUUUAGUCCUCCACUACCAGACAGGAAGCAAGAACUUUUAACACACUUGGGGUUUGGAUCAGUGGAGAAAAUCUUCUUGGUGUUUGACACACCAUUUUGGAGUGACUCAGACCUUGGCUUUCAGCUUGUAUGGACUUCCAAUACAGAAGCUUCUAGUGAAUGGGUGCGUGGAAUUAGAGGUUUUGAUACUGUUAAGGGCCAUUCUAAUGUUCUGUUAGGAUGGAUCAGUGGAAAAGAUGCAGAACUAAUGCAGACAUUAGGAGAAGAAGAAGUGAAAAUUAAGUGUGCAUUUUUGCUGAGAAUGUUUUUGGGUCGAAGUGAUAUUCCUUUACCAAGAAGAGUCAUUAGGUCAAAUUGGCAGAAAAACCAAUACAUCUGUGGAGCUUAUAGUUAUCGAUCAGUGAGUUACACAAAAUUAGGUUUCAGGACAAGUAUUUUGGCUGAGCCAUUGUAUUGCACGCUGUUGAACAAGGAAGUGCCAGAAAAGUGGCCAGUGGUGUUGUUUGCUGGAGAAGCUACUGACCAGGAUUUUUUUUCCUCUGCUCAUGGAAGUCUGAGAUCAGGAUGGAGAGAAGCUGAUCGCUUGCUUUCAUUAAAGAGCUUCCCUCCUGCCUCUGCACAACCACAUUUUCAUCAUGACUGCAACUUUCAAGCAAGUCUAAAUUAUGGCAGGAAAGCAGAACUUAUGUAAGAUCCACUGACACUUGCACAAUAAGUCACAGGGAUGGUUGGAGAGUGAAGUAUUAUGGAACUGUUAGUUCCUGUUGAGAUGUCUCAAUGAUCUUUCCUAUUAAAAAUAAAAAAGGCUUGCUUUGACAUUGGAAUAAGUGUUGCUGUUUCAAGUAUAAGAUUUCUAGCAGCAAGUUCCAGUGUAACCUGUUCUUCUUCUUUUUUUAUUUUAUUCAAGAUUAGUCUUUUCAAAUUGCUUAUAUUUAGUAACCUCUUGUAGGAGCUAUCCAAUAUUGAACACCACUAGAGGGAUGACUGAAACUCUUUCAUAUUGUAUUAAUGUUCAUGAAUUGGAUCUACAGCGUGGCCCAAAAGUUGGUUGCCAUGUAGUGUGGGUGAUAAAUUAUUACAUAUUGUUA